rnacentral:lncRNA from 1 species
GAUAACUCCAGCUUGUGUCAAAUUGGCAAACAAAACCAUCCAGGCCAUGCUGGACUCUGCACCUUGUGGUCCAUGUGUGUAUGCUAAUACUGUGCGGAAAAUGUCCACCAUAGCUUUAGUCCUGCGAAUAUUUUCAGCCUGAAGACCGCUCCUCUACAGAGAUCGCUACUACUGAGCUUAGAUUUCAUCCAAGUGAUAUACUGGUAAAGUAUCAUGGAUGCUUUUUGUUCACAGAGAGAUCCAGCAAGUCAGAAGACAUCAUCAACAGCAUUAACCAACUGUGCAUCUCAAAACUGAGCUAUCAUACAGGGAGCUGACUUCAUAGAUGACUGCACAAGUUAAAGGUGCUUCUUUGCCUCCUGUUGAUACAUUAGUGGGAUCUGCUCAUCAAAUGUAGGAUUCCCAGGUUGCCAAUUUGAAAGAUGCUCUUACUCUUCUUUGGAAAUGAUCAGUUUUGGAAAAAUGUGUUGUUUUAUUUAAUCACACAUAUUUUUCAUGUAAAAAUAGUUUAGACUCCUUCAAAUAGUGUUUUUAAUUUCUUUCUGUAACCAUUUCCAUAUAGACACAGGCCUGGACAAUCAAGUAGAAAGAAUUUCUGUAAUAUACACAUCAUAGUCACAGCACCAACCACCCUUCAACUAUAAUAUUUCCUUAAAGACAUCAUUUAA